CAAAGUUCCAUGGAAGUACACUAUCCAGAGAUGUGUAAUCCACAAAAAGAAUGAUAACUGCAAACAGGGAGCACUCCUGGAGCCAUAGUUAAACAGGUAGACCACUAGAUCGUAGACUGUUUUGAGGAAAAGUUGCAUGGCAUGUUCUAUCUGAGAAUUUCCUGAAGACCAGCCCAAAGAGGGUUAAGAAGUUCACAUAGCCUAGCUGACACCUGACCAGAGGAACCAAUGGGGGGACAAGAUGUUUUCAAAGAGGGAGAUGGGAAAUCAGUCUUUGUCUGUUCAGAAAAAGUUUGUGCUGGAGUGAAGGAUCCAGGAAUCAACCAUCUAACAUUUCUUAAAAGUAAUGCAUAUACCUAAUGGAUGUGAUUCUCCAUUGUCUUGCGUCUUAUCUACAUCUGUGCAAUGUGGGUGUCAAAGACGUCAAAAGGUGCAAUGCAGUGAUGUCUCAGGCCCAAUAUAUUUUAAAAGCCUGAGCACAGAAGCGCAAUGUAUAAAACAUGCUUUUUGAAAUAGCUCAUCUUCAGAAUAACACAUUUCUUUCUAAAUCAGAGGAAUCAAAAGUACAGAAUAAAAGUAGCAUCAGAUUUUCAGAAUUUGGGAAAAUCCUAGUAUUCUAAUCAGCAUUCCUUCUCUGACUGAAACAGAUU